rnacentral:rRNA from 1 species
UUUAUUAACCAUAUCAACCUGCAGCCCAAGACCGGUUACUCACUGAAGCUAAGCAGGUCUGAGCCUGGUUAGUACCUGGAUGGGAGACGACUAGGGAACACUAGGUUGCUGUUGGAA